GACGAACGCUGGCGGCGUGCUUAACACAUGCAAGUCGAACGGAAAGGCCUGCUUUCCCUUGUGGAUUGCGGGUACUCGAGUGGCGAACGGGUGAGUAACACGUGAGUGAUCUGCCCCCAACUUGGGUAUAAGCCUGGGAAACUGGGUCUAAUUCCCGAUAGGACUGCAGGGUGGUGCCUGUGUUGGAAAACGAGUUUCUAGUGGUUGGGGAUGAGCUCGCGGCCUAUCAGCUUGUUGGUGGGGUAAUGGCCUACCAAGGCGGCGACGGGUAGCCGGCCUGGGGGGCUGGACGGGCAGAUUGGGACUGAGAUACGGCCCAGACUACGGCGGGAGGCAGCAGUGGGGAAUAUUGCACAAUGGGCGGAAGCCUGAUGCAGCGACGCAGCGUGGGGGAUGACGGCCUUCGGGUUGUAAACUCCUUUCGACCGCGAGGAAGCCACCUGGUUGGAAGGGUGGUGACGGUAGUGGUAGAAGAAGCACCGGCUAACUACGUG
rnacentral:rRNA from 1 species